rnacentral:rRNA from 1 species
UACGAAGGGGGGCUAGCGUUGUUCGGAAUUACUGGGCGUAAAGGGCGCGUAGGCUGUGCUGUAAGUCAGGCGUGAAAGCCCCGGGCUCAACCUGGGAAUUGCGCUUGAUACUGCGGCGCUGGAAGGUGGGAGAGGAUGGCGGAAUUCCCAGUGUAGAGGUGAAAUUCGUAGAUAGUUGGGAAGAACACCGGUGGCGAAGGCGGCCAUCUGGCCCACAUUUGACGCUGAGGCGCGAAAGCGUGGGGAGC